rnacentral:rRNA from 1 species
GGUAGUCCACGCUGUAAACGAUGUCGACUUGGAGGUUGUGCCCUUGAGGCGUGGCUUCCGGAGCUAACGCGUUAAGUCGACCGCCUGGGGAGUACGGCCGCAAGGUUAAAACUCAAAUGAAUUGACGGGGGCCCGCACAAGCGGUGGAGCAUGUGGUUUAAUUCGAUGCAACGCGAAGAACCUUACCUACUCUUGACAUCCAGAGAAUUCGCUAGAGAUAGCUUAGUGCCUUCGGGAACUCUGAGACAGGUGCUGCAUGGCUGUCGUCAGCUCGUGUUGUGAAAUGUUGGGUUAAGUCCCGCAACGAGCGCAACCCUUAUCCUUUGUUGCCAGCACGUAAUGGUGGGAACUCAAAGGAGACUGCCGGUGAUAAACCGGGGGAAGGUGGGGAUGACGUCAAGUCAUCAUGGCCCUUACGAGUAGGGCUACACACGUGCUACAAUGGCAUAUACAAAGAGAAGCAAACUCGCGAGAGCAAGCGGACCUCAUAAAGUAUGUCGUAGUCCGGAUUGGAGUCUGCAACUCGACUCCAUGAAGUCGGAAUCGCUAGUAAUCGUAGAUCAGAAUGCUACGGUGAAUACGUUCCCGGGCCUUGUACACACCGCCCGUCACACCAUGGGAGUGGGUUGCAAAAGAAGUAGGUAGCUUAACCUUCGGGAGGGCGCUUACCACUUUGUGAUUCAUGACUGGGG